GACGAACGCUGGCGGCGUGCUUAACACAUGCAAGUCGAACGGAAAGGCCCUGCUUUUGUGGGUUGCUCGAGUGGCGAACGGGUGAGUAACACGUGAGUAACCUGCCCUUGACUUUGGGAUAACUUCAGGAAACUGGGGCUAAUACCGGAUAUGAGCUCCUGCUGCAUGGUGGGGGUUGGAAAGUUUCGGCGGUUGGGGAUGGACUCGCGGCUUAUCAGCUUGUUGGUGGGGUAGUGGCUUACCAAGGCUUUGACGGGUAGCCGGCCUGAGAGGGUGACCGGCCACAUGGGGACUGAGAUACGGCCCAGAAUCCUACGGGAGGCAGCAGUGGGGAAUAUUGCACAAUGGGCGGAAGCCUGAUGCAGCAACGCCGCGUGCGGGAUGACGGCCUUCGGGUUGUAAACCGCUUUCGCCUGUGACGAAGCGUGAGUGACGGUAAUGGGUAAAGAAGCACCGGCUAACUACGUG
rnacentral:rRNA from 1 species